UACGGAGGGUGCAAGCGUUGUCCGGAUUUAUUGGGUUUAAAGGGUGCGUAGGCGGCUAAUUAAGUCAGCGGUGAAAUUCUACAGCUUAACUGUUAGAACUGCCAUUGAUACUGGUUGGCUUGAGUACAAAUGAGGUAGGCGGAAUUGACAGUGUAGCGGUGAAAUGCUUAGAUAUUGUCAAGAACACCUAUUGCGAAGGCAGCUUACUAAACUGUAACUGACGCUGAGGCACGAAAGCGUGGGGAUCAAACAGG
rnacentral:rRNA from 1 species